CAGUCGCCGCGGGAAUACGUAGGGUGCGAGCGUUAAUCGGAAUUACUGGGCGUAAAGCGUGCGCAGGCGGUUGUGUAAGACAGGUGUGAAAUCCCCGGGCUUAACCUGGGAACUGCGCUUGUGACUGCACAGCUAGAGUAUGGCAGAGGGGGGUGGAAUUCCACGUGUAGCAGUGAAAUGCGUAGAGAUGUGGAGGAACACCGAUGGCGAAGGCAGCCCCCUGGGCCAAUACUGACGCUCAUGCACGAAAGCGUGGGGAGCGAACAGGAUUAGAUACCCCGGUAGUCCCUGUCUCUUAUAC
rnacentral:rRNA from 1 species